ACAUAUACUUCCUGUUUCUCUCGCGCAGAAUUGCCCAUAGUGUAGACCAUGGGUUCGCAUCCCGUUCAGGUUAUACUCGUUCUUUGUCGCCGUGCUUAUUGGGAUAGGCUCCAACAACCCUGACUAAGAUAAACGUAGAAAAUUGGCAAAAUGGACAGUCCUACUUCUGGAACACACGUAAGGGCAAUACGAAACUUGUAAUCUGAGGAUUACCUGUUUAACGUACUUUUUAAAGAGGGUACAUGUGGAUAGUUUAGCAAGGUACUUAACCUGAAUUAGUCUUGUAAACGACUAACCCGUUUAAAUUGGCAACAGUGUCAGGUAUUCAAACAAAUGUAGCAAUCAAAUAAUCACUUUCUGUAGCUAUUUAUUUAUUCAAAGUAAGUUUUUAUUUCUUCCAAUAAUGUGACAUUCUCCUUGUUGUCGAAAACGACAUAAUUUAUCCAUGUUAUCCAUUUUUCUGUGGCAGGAAAUGCAUGUGCCGAGAAACUUUAAUAAUUAUGUUUUGUUUCUAUAUCAACUACGAAGAAAUAAACAAAAGACUGUAGCGCCUCAGUUUUCCUUUUGGUGGCAAUAGCAAUCUAAUAAUCAUCCGGACUCGCCGAAAAACCUUACUGGCGUGCAUAAAAUAGCCAGCUUGAUACCUUGAAGAAUUCCAUUUUAGGGAGGUCCCGAGAUUUGCUCGAGCGUCCUGAAAAGAGAGAGCAACCACUCAUAUCGCCGUUGUCCUUCAAUGAGGAGCAGUCAGUGUAAGCGAGUCUGUCUGCCGGACCAUGGGUGUCUUAGGACCGUCCACUAACGCACGAGGUCGCCCUGCCUAAAAAGCUAUCAACACUUUAGGGAUACACGUACAGAUAUUUACAGAAGAUAUUGUCAUGGGUGAAGCUUAUUAAAAAAGGAAGGAAGAAAGAAAGAAAAAAGAAAGCAAUUUAUCCUCGAGGAUCAUCAUAUCAUUUUCGGGUUCGCUGAAGAUUACAUCUGGUCACAACGGAGUCACUGGUCAAGAACAACUUCAUAUUUCACAGCCGUCGUGGUACUUUGUAGUGUCAUCAUCUGUGAUUUGUCUCAUGUUGGGACGACGACCAUGUAAUGCUUCGAGAACACCAGUCUUCAGACCAAGCACAUAGGAUAUAUUGGAAGACACAAAGCAGCAAUCAGCCCCUCGACAGAGAGGAGGCACACGGACCUGGACACAACAAAGUCUAUAGCUUUUCGCUGUUUGCUAUUUACCUUGCAGUGCCAGUUGCAUUUCAUUAUCCUAUUCAAUGAACAGAUUUGACGGUUCGGCUUCCUUUACUUUCGGAGGAGAGCUAAUAGGUCUUGGCGUUUGCAACUUAGCUGCUGCGAUCUGGUAAGGGGUGCGGGGGGACGGUGUCAGAGAGCUUUUCUCUCUGCAUGCUCCAUCCCCACCCCCCCAAGUCAAUGAAGACUAUUCUCCCCAGUUUCCUCCAGGAGCACAUGUUAAUUGUAGCUGGGGCUGGUGGACUGUGGAGCAGAUGAGUCAGGCCCAUGCCCUGCUGCAGAAGGAUGCUGGGAUUACUCACCAGAAGCAUGUGGAAUCUCACGUGGCUAUUUAAGGACAUGGCGCUUCCCCGCUCAUCAGCCUCAGCCCCGUAUCGGGGGGGGGGGGGGGGGGGGGGGGGACCGCUCCUAUCCCACUCAAGAGCACAGAGGGAGCUAGACUCUCAAAUUAAAAAAAAAAAACUUGACUUGGAGAAUGAUCAUAACCGAAAUGCGGAACUAUCAUACAGUCAUACCAAAACUCUCCCUUUUAUUUGCGUUUUCUCUGUAUAAGACAGGUCAGGAAUGUGUUUUUUCGUGUGACUGGAAGGGCUGUACACAGUAGUCGGCCGAAUGGAAUGUUAUCGUUGUUGCUGAAACGGAGAGUGUUUCUUAACAGAAACUUUCAGGUUGGAGAGCAUGUUUUCAAGAAAGCCCAUUUCCAUUUGAAACGGUUAGGUUGCUAUGUAAAACAGUCUACUGGUAACUGCGGUUGACAAAGGUUUAUUUCAUUACCUGGUUGGGCAGAGCAGUGUCCUAUCAAAUACAUAUCCAGGCCUUGUUCUAUAUAAGAAUAUCACUCGUGGCACAGAGGCAUGUGCUGUGACCGCCAGCAAAAGUGACUUCACUUAGCAAUAAACAGUCACAUGGUAAAUACUGAGUUUCAGUUUGUGUGUAAGACAGUUCCUGAAAGGCUGCCAGGGUAGGGUGACCCCAUGGGCCUUACAGAGCAAAAAAAAGUACGGUCACAACAUUUCGCUCUUUGACUUAGUGACCUCAGCCUGUGAACUUCAGCUGCCUCAGAAGACCUAUAGCAACAAGACUUGGUUUGACAUUAAAAAAAGGCUAGAAUCCCAAUGUGGGAAGCAUAGCUGAGAUCCAACUGAGUGUCCUGUGCCGCUGCUCUGAGGCAGUGCGCUGUAGGGACUAGCUUCUGUGUGAGCAAGUUAUACGUCAAAGCAGGCAAGCGGGCCAGACCGUUUUCCAGUCAAUGCCUGAGGGCUCGUGCCAGGGGGCCAUGAGCUGAGAAAUGAGCUGGUGAAUGUGGCCGCUUGAAAGGGGAUAGCAGUCCUGCAUUACAGCUCGAGGAAGAUUCGCUGUCCACAAGUCACAUUUUUAGGGAUGUGAAAGCGAAUAUUUGUAAAGAUUCCCGGAAGCUACUUAAGUACCACCGGAGCGGCCGUAACACCUCGGUCAGCCAGGUGGCCAGUGCGAGGUCGGCAUAGGAAUAUCAUCACUGUCUGAAUGCCCUCGGCGGCCACAUCGGAAUGCUAAAUGUUAGCAUGGGCGGCCCGCAUUCCGACAACCCUGCAAUAUGCUGAGUAUGUUUAAUUAGAAAACACAAUCAGUCCUUAUUCAACCACUGGCAGCUACUUGACUCACCAAUCAUCUGUGUUUGCACAGCAGGCAACAAUUAAGGCCUCCUCCUGUAGAGCAACAGGCCAGGCUGUAUCAACAGAGCAAUCAGAGCGAUACCGCUGUAAACAAUGUAAAUGCCACGCUGUUUCGCACAACUGACGCUCAUGGGGGCAGUCGGGGGGCGUGCAGAUAAGUAAACAGAGCGAAGGACACACAGCCUCUCACUUCCAUUGAGUGGAGGCCUCUCCGCAAAGCCUCCCCCAGUGCCUCUUAUCUAGCUGAUGGUGACCAUCUGUUUACUGCCAUGAUCAGAGGAAUAACAUUUAAAAAAGGUUUGCAUUCUAGCAUUCCACAGUUCAUUCAUUCAGACGCAUGUACCCUAGGCCACGCCUCUGCUAAUCUCAUAUCUCAGUUAAGACUACCGGGUCUAUCUCGUAAUUACACUGUCUCCCACGCCAGGUCGAGAUAUUACGGCUUAGUUAGUUUGUGUAAUUAGCGAGCACAUAAACUUCGUGUUUGUUUGCCCAGUGCUUGUUUGACCGGCACGAUGAUCGUGAUAAAAACAGCUGAAUUUGCUGACAGAUCCUCAUUCAUGCUGAGGUUAUAUACCAGGGGUACUUAAGUAAUUGUUCCAUGAGGUCAAAAUUCAACCAGUGACAUAAAGCCAAGGUUCAGUGGCCCCGAUAAAAUUUAGGUUUCACUGACCAGGGGGGUUCAUUGGGGGGGGUUGGAUCAAUUGCAAGAUCGGGAUAACACUGCUUCGUGCAUUUGUCAUGUACUAUAUAAUAUACUAGUCAGGUUUACUGUUACACAAUGAAGCAUUCUGAAAUGAGCUUAUUAUUAAAUGUCAUUAUAAAUGCAAAUGCUUUUUUCCCCAGUUGUGUAGAAAGGCAGGAUAAAUAACUACACAUGUGGCUCCUUAUCCACUACACUGUAUUUCAGAAAUAAUGGGUUAAUGUUAGGUAAAUUAUGGAAGUGGCAUUUGUAAAGAUGUGCGUACUAUUACAAUUUGAAUAUGAAAUGUCUAACAGGUUGUUAAGUUGUGGUCUGUUCUGGAAUACAAAACAGGAACCCGACUGAAUAAAAUUCAUAGAGAAAUUAAAGGGCUUUUUUCUGCGGUGAAUGGAACUGUGCCACUGCGAUAUCACAGCCAUGCAACACGGUUCCUUCAUCCCUGUUCCGGAAACCCAUUGUGUGUUUUUAAUUAAUCCGGCGUGAAGAAGGUGUGGAUUCAGGUCUGAAUGUGAACUGGCAAUAUCACAACAUUUCUGUCAGUCUCCGUGAAACAAUUGUUUUGCAGAGAACAGGAAAGGCAAUUGUGUCUCUAUGUGCAUUUUAAAAGUAACUGAUUAAGCUAUAAGCCAAAUCAACAUUGUUUCUGAAAAACUGAAUGAUUAAGCAUUAAUAAUUCAUGCUGGUUAAGAGAUUCCUUUCUUUGUUCUUUUACAGUUGUUAAAGGGCAUGCUGCUUUCAGUGGUUUCCGGAUGAAACAUUUAGAUCAGGUAUGACUGUAUCAAGUCAAAGAAAUUAAGUGCAAAACUAGUGCAAAAACCUGCAUACGCAGGAGGUCCAGGUGACCAUGAUGCAGCAUCUUGGCACAUAGAGGAAACGCAAAGUGCCACACUAUCGCUGUCACACUGAGCGUCACACUGUACAGAGCCAUUAAAUUAAUAUUACUGCAUUCUUAGAAGCAGCAUGGUCCAAAGUUCUAUAAAAUGCAGUAUUUUUAGGUGGGGCAGUCUAUCUGUAGACUAAAUGUACGGUACUGUGCAAAUUUUAAAGUAAUUUAUCUGAUUAGUAAGUGAGUAAUUGCUCAGAGCAAAAACACAAUUUAACAUUAGAACAUUUGCAAAUUAAGAGUAACACAAUAAAAACUAUAAAGAAUUACUUGUGUUUUCCAAAAAGUCAGAACACUGCUUCGGUUUCCAAAAGUCUCCUUGGGAGCAGCCCAGCCAUUUCAUGUAUUUCUUAAAUUUCACCCUCAGCUCACCUAAUUAAUUACUUAAAUUAGUUUAAGCCACUGAGAUAUUGAUUAGCCAUACCAGGUGUCGAAGGGCUUGAGUCAAAAAAUGCACGGGGUGUAUUGGAUGAUUUCUGGAAAUUCUGGGGUGACCUUAGGAGAGGUUUUGGAAUAUGGCUAAGCUAACACACUUUGACAUAAUGUCAUAGUCUUACACUAUGAAGAUCAUUUAAACAUAUUUUUUUGCUUAAGACUUUUGCACAGUACUGUACAUUUUCAGUGAAAGCAUGCUGAGUUGAAGAAUCCUGUUAUGUGCUUUUGGACUUUUGUGUUACCUGCGAUCUACUGUAGUCCAGAGGCAACAAAAGCAUGUAAUCCCUUCAGCCACAGGACAGACUGAGGGUAGACCAUGUAAAAUGGAAGAGUGAAAAGUAAUUUAGAGACUGUUCUCCUAGUUUCGAUAAUACUGUGUGGUUGUUUAUCACAUAAAGAGGUUCUACUGUCACAGAUCAUGCAAUGUGCUGUGGGAAUGCUAGAAUGUAUGGUGACAUUGUCAGAUAUCUAUUCAAACAUGCUUCGCUGAUCAGAUCAUUUUAUUACCAGUAAAGAGAUUUAUCUACAACAGAUGUGAAGCUGUAUCAGGCCCAGAAUGAUGUCAAACAGACAGGCACUCAAUCUGUGCGAAGUAUGGCAAUACUACAUGAAUGACACUCGCGAUUCUGAGAUCAUAUUCCAUAUCAGGCAUUAAGCAAUUAGAGUCUUUUGGACUUAAAGUCUAAAAUAGCAUCUGAAGAUAAUAAUUUGAUAAUUUUCACCCUGGGUUUAAAAUUGUGUGUUGUUGUUGAAUCGUGGUAGCACAAAGUGAUAAGAUUAUUCCUAAGGCUGAAAUGGACUAUUAAAAUUUGUGGCAAACUCUAAAAUGGAUAUCCAUAAAUCCUGAAAAUGAGACUCUUAUUUAAGUCAACAGGUCUUGGGCUAUUAGAAUAUCCUAUAUCAAAUCCUCUGAAUAGAAUGUGAAACCCAAAUAAGAUAUACAUCUUACAUUUGAUAUAUAACAACAUAUAUUUAAAAAUAACAUUCUAGUACAUUAACAUUAGCAGUCCAUAAUUCAGAAAGUCCCCUGGUUCUCAGUAAAUGGCAGUGAUACAUUUUUUUCCCUGUUUGUACAACUUGCACGCCUCCAUACAUGAUCAUGAGAGAGGCACAAAGGAAGCCAGCUGGACGAGUCUCCCGGUGCAGAGAGCAGACGCUACGUGACGAUUCGGUUUGUGUCCCUCCCCCCUCCCGCAGCUUUACAUUAUCGGGAGGAGAUCACGUCAGGCUUUCUCAGGCUGGGAACUCAAUCCUGCACAAGCUCAGAAACGGAGAGAAAUGACGUUUCCUUUUUCUGAUAAUGUUUGUGAGAUCGUUUAUUUUAUUUAAGAGAUUAAACCACUGCACAUGUUAUUGACACAAAUGCAGGAUAGUUUGAAAGUUAAAACAUUCAGUUUAAAAAUACUACUAUUCAUACUUGUGACACUGAAGUCAUUUCACUGGGUUUUCUCUCAUUGAUAUAUAUUUCUAAGUUCUCAAAACAAUGUACCAUGCUCUCCAUCCACCAAUAUAUUAUAAACCAAAGUCAUAUAACUUGUUUACACAACUAAAUCAUGUGUGACAUAAAUGCAUUUAAUCCGA